rnacentral:rRNA from 1 species
AGGAUUAACGCUGGCGGCGUGCCUAACACAUGCAAGUCGAACGAGGUAGCAAUACCUAGUGGCAGACGGGUGAGUAACGCGUGGUCAACCUACCGUUGAGUGGGGGAUAACUAACCGAAAGGUUAGCUAAUACCGCAUACGUGUCCGAGGGGCAUCCCUUGGCCAUAAAAGGAGCAAUCCGCUCGAUGACGGGACCGCGUCCCAUUAGCUAGUUGGUGGGGUAACGGCCUACCAAGGCACCGAUGGGUAGCUGGUUUGAGAGAGCGAUCAGCCACACUGGGACUGAGAAACGGCCCAGACUCCUACGGGAGGCAGCAGUGAGGAAUUUCCGCAAUGGGCGAAAGCCUGACGGAGCGACGCCGCGUGUGGGAAGAAGGCCUUCGGGUCGUAAACCACUGUCGAAGGGACGAUAAUGACGGUACCCUUGGAGGAAGCCCGGCUAACGUACGUGCCAGCAGCCGC